rnacentral:rRNA from 1 species
GACGAACGCUGGCGGCGUGGCUUAACACAUGCAAGUCGAGCGGUAAGGCCCUUUCGGGGGUACACGAGCGGCGAACGGGUGAGUAACACGUGGGUGACCUGCCCUUAGCUCUGGGAUAAGCCUGGGAAACUGGGUCUAAUACCGGAUAUGACUCCAUGACGCAUGUUGUGGGUGGAAAGCCUUGUGCGGCUGAGGAUGGGCCCNCGGCCUAUCAGCUUGUUGGUGGGGUGAUGGCCACC